rnacentral:rRNA from 1 species
AUGGCGAUCGAGACGGAGCCCGCCGCGCCGCCCGGCCUCCUGGGCCCCCCGGUAGUGCGCGGCGCGCGCCCGCCCGCCGACCCCGCGUUGCACCCCUUCCUCGACCUCCUCGACGCGGCCAUCAAGGCGGCGCUGACGCUGACACCGUGGCGGGCACGGGCGCUGACGCCGUGGCGGGCGCUCACGGAGAACUACUCGCUUGCGUACGCCAACUCGGGCAACCCCUGCCUCGACUUCUUCUUCCAGGUGGUGCCCGACACGCCAGCCGAGCGCGUGCGCGGCCUGCUCGCCGCCGCCUGGGCCCACGACGCGCUCACGGCGCUCAAGCUCGCCUGCAACCUCCGCGGCGUCCGCGGCACCGGCAAGUCGGACAAGGAGGGCUUCUACGCGGCCGCACUCUGGAUGCACGAGCACAACCCCCGGACGCUCGCCUGCAACAUCGCCGCGCUCGCCGAGUUUGGCUACCUCAAGGACUUCCCCGAGCUGCUCUUCCGCCUCAUCCACGGCCCCGACGUGCGCAAGGUUGCCAAGGCGGCCGCCGAGGCCGAGAAAGCGCGGAAGAAGGAGAAGGCGCUCGGCCACAGGCGGGCGGCCCUCCGCACCAGGUUGGCCAGCCGGCGGAGAAGGAGAAGGCUGCCGCCGUUGCCACCCAAGCCCACCUUCGGCGAUUUCCUCGCGGCUGCGCUCUGGAAAUCCAUGCAGAGCAAGGCCCUAGUGGUUGAGGCCGUCCCUGUCUCCGUCGCGGUCCCGGAGGCACAGAAGCCGGAGGUGAUGGAGGUGGAUCAGAAGAAGACCUCCCCACGUAAGCCGGAGAUGUCCAAGAAGGUCCGGAAGGUUGCCAAGCUCGCCGUGCAGUCGCUGAAGACGUACUACGGCGACCGGGCAUACCGUUUCCUGUUCGACGCCGUCGCAGACUUCUUCGCCGCGCUCCUCACCUCGGACCUCGAACAGCUUUCCCACGGCGGGAAGACGAUGAAGAUCGGGCUCGCCGCCAAGUGGUGUCCCACGCCGGGCUCGUCGUUCGACCGCACCACGCUGCUCUGCGAGGCCAUCGCUCGUCGCCUCUUCCCGCGCGACUCUGACCCCGAGUACGCCCAACUCUCGGACGAGCACUACACGUACUGCGCCCUCCACCGCCUCCGCCGUCAGGUGCUCGUGCCGCUGCGCAAGGUCCUGAAGCUUCCGGAGGUGUACAUGAGCGCGCAGCGGUGGUCCGAGCUCCCCUACACUCGAGUGGCCUCGGUGGCCAUGAGGCGCUACAAGUUCCUGUUCAAGAAGCACGACGAGGUGCGCUUCGGCAGGUACCUGGAUGACGUGAAGGCCGGCAAGGCCAAGAUCUCGGCGGGCGCGCUCCUGCCACACGAGAUCGCCGCGGCCGCACUCCGUGGCCAGGAGGACGACGUCUCGGAGCUUCAGUGGCGCCGCAUGGUGGAGGACCUCCGCUCCAAGGGGUUGCUGCGCAACUGCAUCUCCGUCUGCGACGUGUCCGCCAGCAUGGAUGGCAAGCCGAUGGAGGUGUGCAUCGCGCUGGGGGUGCUCACGUCGGAGCUCAGCGAGAGGCCGUGGAAGGGCAAGGUGAUCACGUUCCAUUCAAGGCCCUCGAUCCACCUGAUCAAAGGCAAUACCCUGCGGGAAAAGAUGAAGUUCGUGGAGCGCUUGGAGUGGGGCGGGAGCACCAACUUCCAAGGGGUGUUUGACCAGAUCCUCUGCACGGCCGUGGACGCCGGACUCGCGCCGGAGAAGAUGAUCAGGACCGUGUUCGUGUACAGCGACAUGGAGUUCAACAUGGCGUCAGGCGCCUACUACGGCGGGGAACCGUCGUGGGACAGUGACUACGAGGUGAUCUGCAAGAAGUUCAGGGCCGCCGGCUACGGCGACGUGGUGCCGCAGAUCGUCUUCUGGAACCUGCGCGACUCCAGUUCGAUGCCGGUGACGUCGACCCAGCCCGGGGUGGCCAUGGUGAGCGGCUUCUCCAAGAACAUCCUCAAGAUCUUCCUGCAGAAUGACGGCGUGGUGAACCCCGAGGCCAUCAUGAUGCAGGCCAUCGCCGGCGACGAGUACCAGAAGCUGGCCGUGUUCGACUAG